GCAAGUAGAAUUCUGAUUGUGAAUUACAAUCGUACUGCUUCCAAGUCCCUCAGUUUUGAUUUUUCAAUGUCUAACUGGGGCCAUCGCCUGGAGCAAGACGGUAGUGGUUUUCGGUCAGGCAGUAUAAGAACAGGUCUCGGACUUCGGAAUCUAGGGGUGGAUUUCACGUUUUUCGAAACAGAAGAUUGCUUCCUGUGCUUUUGCUGUUCGCUUCUACGAGGCGGGUCUUUGGCGUGACAGUCAAAGAUCGUUUGAGCAUGCUAACAGGAGAAAAAAUA
rnacentral:sRNA from 10 species